rnacentral:lncRNA from 1 species
AGUGGCAUGGCUAUUGCACCUUGGGAGAAGCCUUUAAUCGGUUAGACUUCUCAAGUGCAAUUCAAGAUAUCCGAAGGUUCAAUUAUGUGGUCAAAGUGCUGUUGUAGGAGCAAGGGAUACAAUGAUGAUCAAGGCAGAUGCAGCCGUUACCUUCAGGUCGUGGAGUCCGGAUACAGACUGGAGGCAGGCAGCUGUAAGAUGUGUGACAAAUGCUGCGCUGGAUCAGCCCAUGGUAUUAGGAGAGCAGGUAAGGAAGGGUGGGGACGGGAGCGGACAACCUGGAGGAAGAGGCACCUAAGCAGAGUCCAGAAGGCUGAGGAGGAGUCAGCAGGUGAAAGAGAGGGGAAUCAUGGCAUACCAUCUCAACUGUAGGGCACGGCUAGCUGGCUGACUUAGCUGCUGUAACACCGGAUUUUUGCAAGACUCCCUGAGUAUUUCUCGUGGAUUUGCGAACAAAUCUGAGCAAGAAAACCAUGUAAUUUCUUUUAUGCCCUGCCCAAGAAAGCCACCUGGAGGGGCAAGGGGACCUUAGCAGAAAGAAGCUGGAGGUGGGGGGAGAGCAGGGUGAUAUUACUCUCCAUAUGGUGGGGGGUGGACACCUCCCUGUCAUAUGGCUCAUAAUAUCCAGCGGGGGAGAGGGGGUUGACUUUCCCCUACGUUAUUGAUAAUAUCACCCCCCUCUCUCCCGCUAAAUAUUAAGUACAAUAUCACGGGUGG